GUGAAAAUAUGGUGAAUAUUAUUUUCCAUGUUAUUUUCACGUUGAGGCAAAGUGAAAAUAAGGUGAAUGUUAAUUUCUACCAAAGUGCCACGUAGUAUCUACGGCCAGAGGGUCAUCCGCCCGACAAGGAUAUAUGAGUGUAGAUUGUAGUAGGAAUAUUUUGCUCUAUGUUAGGAUGAUAAAAAAACGUUACUGGAUACCUUAAAAUUUUUUGCAUUAUGAUGUUGUUGUUAGACGUACAUAUCACGUUGCUAUAACGUCCUGUUUCGCUAUCAACUUCUCUAAUUUUUUUAGGCAAGAAUGAUUGAAUCAAGAGCAUAUGAAGAAUUUUUCAUAACAUGUUGAUUGGGUUUGUUCUAUUCUGUUGCUCUUCACUUGAACAACCAAGGAGCGAUCAAACGAUGGUCACAGUUUAAAAUUUAUGCCAUUUUUAUUUGUCUAUUUAGGUUAAUUUCUUAUAGUUAGCACAUUUAUUUGGGAUGCUAGUUUAUCAGUAUUACAGAAACACAAAAAUAUUUCACCUCAAUCUCCUUUGGUUUACGAGUAAACUUAAAAUGAAUCUUGAAAGACAUAACCACACCAGGUUCGGUGUCUGUAUAUUCGACUAAUUAUUGUUUUCAAGAAGCGCCGUUGCAAAGAAUUUACAUGAGAUCAAAUUCAAAUUGAGCUCUGCCUCUGCUGCUGCUGCAUACGUGACCCAUAAUCCAUCCCGGCGGCCGGCAACCGUUUCGUAAGUCCGUUACGGUGUUUCCAAAGUGCUUUUCUUAAGGAAAUUAAGGAGGAUUUGGUGCAUCUUCCAGAGACAGCUCUUCACUGCCCUACCAACGAAGUCCAUAAAAAUGGCUGUAUAAAGAACAACAAAUCAGAAUCCACUCCAGAGGUCUCACAAAGGUUUAAGGGAAAACUCCAGUUGAACAAAAGAAUUCAGAUUAUCUCUAGUUGGGGCUGCAGAUGAAGCCACAUCUUCAAGAUCUGCAGAUUCAGAUCUAAGAGGAUUUGUAGCUGUGUCAGAGGCAGAGGCUGCAGCUUCUGCUGUAGGUUCAGGAGGGGAGGAUGUGGAUGAUGUUUUGCCAGCCCCAGUACGCAGUUUAGAGGUGCUGGAUGACUCGUGUACUAAGUUAACUGAUGAAACAUUCAAAAAGAAAUUGACACUGUAUUUGUCAUCAUUAGGAUGGCACAGCCUUGGAGAGACAGUUCAUAGGAUUAAAAAGCUUGGAAGCAAUAGUGUGUGGUCCUCAUAGUCUAAAGGGAAGAAAAGGAAAGCUACCAUUUACUGAUCUUCCUAUCUGCAAAGUUGUCAUCAGAGCAUGCUUAAGAAACUACAGAAAGCAAAAUUAUCUGAAGUGGAAGACGAAAUAAGUGAAGCCCUGAACCAUGUCCCUAAAAGAUAAGGUGGCCUAAAGUAUAAGGAUCCUGAACCUAAAAGACCCAAUUAUUUAACAGCACAAGUCAUCCGAUUCAGAAAACUAGGCGCAGAUUAAAUCAAGACAGAGUGCACACACAC